rnacentral:rRNA from 1 species
GACGAACGCUGGCGGCGUGCUUAACACAUGCAAGUCGAACGAAGAGCGAUGGAAGCUUGCUUCUAUCAAUCUUAGUGGCGAACGGGUGAGUAACGCGUAAUCAACCUGCCCUUCAGAGGGGGACAACAGUUGGAAACGACAGCUAAUACCGCAUACGAUCUAAUCUCGGCAUCGAGGAUAGAUGAAAGGUGGCCUCUACAUGUAAGCUAUCACUGAAGGAGGGGAUUGCGUCUGAUUAGCUAGUUGGAGGGGUAACGGCCCACCAAGGCGAUGAUCAGUAGCCGGUCUGAGAGGAUGAACGGCCACAUUGGGACUGAGACACGGCCCAGACUCCUACGGGAGGCAGCAGUGGGGAAUCUUCCGCAAUGGACGAAAGUCUGACGGAGCAACGCCGCGUGAGUGAUGACGGCCUUCGGGUUGUAAAGCUCUGUUAAUCGGGACGAAAGGCCUUCUUGCGAAUAGUGAGAAGGAUUGACGGUACCGGAAUAGAAAGCCACGGCUAACUACGUG